rnacentral:rRNA from 1 species
UGCACCCCGCUGACUAGCGGCGGACGGGUGAGUAAUGCAUAGGAAACUGCCCAGUAGUGGGGGAUAGCCCGGGGAAACCCGGAUUAAUACCGCGUACGCCCUUCGGGGGAAAGCAGGGGAUCUUCGGACCUUGCGCUAUUGGAUGUGCCUAUGUCGGAUUAGCUAGUUGGUGGGGUAAAGGCCUACCANGGCGACGAUCCGUAGCUGGUCUGAGAGGAUGAUCAGCCACAUCGGGACUGAGACACGGCCCGAACUCCUACGGGAGGCAGCAGUGGGGAAUAUUGGACAAUGGGGGCAACCCUGAUCCAGCCAUGCCGCGUGUGUGAAGAAGGCUUUCNGGUUGUAAAGCACUUUCAGUGAGGAGGAAAACUCUGCGACUAAUACUCGUAGGGCUUGACGUU